UAUGUGUUUAAAUGUUUCUCCUCUGCUCCCCCCAUUUGUUGGUUAUUGUUCCCUCUCUUCAUAUGUUCACGGCAGUGCAUUGACUGGGAGGAGAUUGUACAGUAACUGGAUCCUCUACAUCAGUCCUAGUAGGAGUGGUUGUGGGUCCGGUUGUUGCUGCUGUUCUACUGACCGUCUUCCUGG